GCUCCUGUGGCGCAAACGGUUAGCGCGUGGUACUAUAAAUGCCGAUGUUGUGAGUUCGAGCCUCACCAGGAGCA